GGAUUAUUCUGCUUAGAUUGAUGAGAGUCGUUAUUCUUAGAAUGAACUUUUUUUUGUGACGUACCUUCUGCCUUUUCUUUUGAAUGAAUUCAUAGUCUUCCAAUAAAAUUUUAAAAAAAUAUAUAUAGUACCCAAAAAGAGUAAACAGAUUACCGUCCAUCUAAAAAAAAAAAAAGAAGUGAUCACCGCCCUUGUAAAUCCGAUUAUUUUUCUUGAUUGGUUAGCGAGAAACAGAGAGAAAACAGGGAAAAAAAAGAAAGAAAGUUAGUUCUAAAUAAAAGACUGAGGCUCGUGAAUUGGGUUGCCAGAAAAGUCCUCCUUUUGUUCUGUUUGUCGGGUCUUCGUCUUGGUGAGCUAUUAUUAUUAUUGCAGAGCACAAGAAGUGAAAGCUGAGGGAAUCUUCUUCUUCUUCUUCUUCUUCUUCUUCCUCGAGUUUUCUCGGCUACCAAACGCAGCAUGAUCAAGAGAUGUUUUGAAUUUAAAGUUCUACUCUUUGUGCUGGAAGGUUUUUGUUCCACAACAAUCUAGAUGCUGAUGUUGACUACAAAUACUGUUGCCACCUUGCCUCAGUUACCACUAGUACUUCAAUGGAAAAAGGAGGUCACUUAAGACUGCUGAACCUGGAUGCCUAGGUAUUGGUGCCCAAUUUUUUACUAUUAAUAAAAGUAGACGUAUCUUGCAUUCUAGCCAUAUGCAGUCUGCUUCUGAUAUAUGUCAUUUCGCUUGGUAAGUUUAUUCUUUCAUAUCCCCAGUUACUUGUUAUCUAUGUCUUUUGUGUCUCAUGUUGUUGUAGAUUUAUCUCGUCUAAUAAAAAUUAUGUGUUCAACGUAAAUUCUACAGAUUUUACAUUUGUUAGAAUGUGAAAAUAGUGAGCAGUAAAUGUUAUCUUUAAUUCCUUGUUACCUUUACGUCAUUAUUAGGCAUUUUCUAACAUUCAUCAGUAAUACUUUGACCUUUUGCAUGAAGGUAAUGACCUUUACAGCCCUUUUAACGUUAGCCAAAGUUUCACAAUUUUUUAGAGAUUUUCAUGUGCUUGAAAUUUUAAAUUUCAAUCUAACUUAAGAGUUGUCUUAGAAUCAGUUACUAAACAGCUGGUUUGGAAAUUUUCUGAACAAGUGUCUUGAUACAUUCAAUGGUAGAACUUAUCUGUGACUUUAGGAUUAUGCUACUGCAUCUUUUUUUUUUUUUUUUUUUUUUUUUUUUUUUUUUUUUUUUUUUGCGCAAUCAGGUUAUGUUAUGCAUCACCCUCUGAUGAAAAGCAAAGAACAACAAUUAGAAAAUCCUGAUAAAUGUAUUCAGAUUAUAAAUGAAGUUAUGGAACAUGCAUCUACAAACACAAUAGGUGAAUUCAUUUUGUAUUUUUUUUUUCUUCAUAGAUGCUUGCAAAUUGAGGUUAGGAAACCAGGGAUUCUAUGGAUUCUUGAUAUUGCUCUUUUUUUGGGUUAAAACCUUUGUCUCUGCCUCUCUGAUUUCUUCUGCAGAAUGCAAGAUGCGCUGCUGAGAAAACUCAAACUGUUACACGCAUGGCUCCAACAAUUACUCACAUUCCUAGUAAUAGCUAUUUCCGUGUAUCAAUCAUUAGUCAAACUACAUUUAAUAUUAAAGGAAUCGCUUUGGCUAGCCAAACACAGAACUGCCUGCCUUAUGUCAUUGGUGGGUGUGAGUAGCUCAUCUGCAGUGGCAGAGCAAUACACUGUAUCAUUGGUUGCUCUGAAUUCAUUUAGUCCAACUUCUAAAGUUGUCUCCUUUUCUGCUUUUUUAUUUGCUAAAAUGGAGUUUUGGUAGUCGUCAUAGAUAUUUUUCUUGGCUCCUUGGUAUAAAUGUUGCUUCAAGGAUCCUUUGUGGGAUUCAUCAAAUGGUAGUUGUAUUGCUCUGUUCAGUUUAAUAAAUGCCAGAUGAAUUCUUUUUGAAGUUGGAUUAGUUUUAGGAACCAAGUCAUAAUUUGGCCUGUCCUUGGCAACCAAUGUCUGUUGUCAAUUGAUUAAUCAAAGCAUUGUAUUUCCUCUUUUGUGUAAUCCUUUUUUUGGGUUUAUGGUAUGGGGUGGUUACAUACAUUUUCACUUGUUGAUACAUAUAAAUGCAUGUUGACUUUUGCCUUCUUUCUGAAAUUCUGUGAGAUUCGAUAUUUCAAAUGGCAUAUAAUGGUUAAACUGAAAUUUCGGGGAAGGAUUGGCCACAACUCAAUGAUGGUGGGUCUGGGUUACAACCCAGAGGUGAUGGUGAUGGUCGUGGUGGAGGCGACUGUCAAGUAGAUUAAUUCUUUAAAAAUAAGGAAAGUGAGAUGCCUUAUAGUUACAGGGGGAGAAAAUGAAAGAAUGAUCGGAACUUUAUCAUUAGUAAUAGUCCCUCCAGAAACUAUAUAUAACAGCUUAUUUAACUGGUACAGGCGUUCUUUGUACGGAUUGGGGAAUGUCCUCAAUUGCUUUUGUUCAGAUCUGGAAAUACCAGAGACAGAAGACUCUUUUAUCAGUCAAGCAAGAUAGUAUCUAAAAACCUUAGCAUACAUACAAUGUCAUCAAAUUUUGUUCCAUAUUUCUAAUGUGGAAUUUUCCAAUUUUCUUUUGUGGGAGAGAAGAAAUCAAUAUAGGUGAAUAUUUCCUUCCUCAGAACUUUUAAUUUUCUGGAAUGCUAAUUCCUCUAAACAUUCGCUAUGUUCAAUUCUCCUAAACUAGAAUUUCUUUUAUUUAUUAUUUAUUUUUUUUCCUAUUUAUGUCAUUGGGAUUCUCAUAAGAAUUAAGCUCAUGAUCUCCCCUCAUGACAUCCUUUAAAUGCAACCUGUGAUACUAUUGAAAAUUGUAGCUUGUGACAUGCCAUAUAAAUUUAAUAUAGGAAUUCAUAUUCAACAGAUUUUGUGAUUGUUCAUUUGUUUUGUCUUAUAUUUUUCUCAAGGUUGCAAUAGAAAAAAUAUGAAUGAAAAUGUGGAGCAAAGGCCUCCAAAAGUCAACCUAAAGCAGAUGGACUGGAAGAAAAAGAGAGCAGAAGUUAGUUUGGAUGAUUUAAAACACUCUCAUUUACUUGUGUCACCAACUUCACAAGGGAGAUCAGGCAAAGUGUAAGGUGGACGAACUGUCUUUGCUUGCCAACAACACAUGUGAGGUCCUUCCGUUGUCGACACCAUUGGAAUUCUAUCCUGCUCCAUGGAGGUUCCACUGGUUCCAACCUCUCUGCAUUGACUGCUAAAUAGGAACCCAUCAGUGACUCACUCCAACCUCAGUUGCUCUUUAUUUAACAUGGGGAUUAAACCAAUGGCACAGUGAUUUUAUAUUCAUAAUUCUCCUAUUUUUUACGAUGAGAAUGUACUCACAUGCGAAUUUCUUUCAUUACUGUUAAUGUUGAUUUGACUUUGUAUGAAAAUCAGUGUUUUAAUACUAUUAU